UCUUUUUUACACUGUGAAGAUGUAUCUUUGCCAAGGUGCCUUCUGAUUGGCUUAAUAAAGAGCUAAAUGGCUCAGCAGGAGGUAUAGACCAGACUUCCAGGCACAGAGAGGACUCUGGGAAGAAGAGCCAGGCAGACAUGGAACAAGUCGGACACACAGAAUGGAAUAGAGGCAAACCAUUCUUCAAAUACAAAAGCUAAGUAAGGCUGCCUUAACAAGUGCAGAGAAUACAUGAGACAUAACACUGAUGAGCACUCUUGAAAAUGCUACUCGUCUAAGAAACUCAGUGAGCCAAGAAAUGAAGGAAUAUAGAGGUCUCAAGUCUGAAGACAAAGUGCAAACUAUUGCAAAUCUGUUCAUUGUUGCAUUCUUGCAAGAGAAUACCGCGCAGCUGUGAUGGGGAAAGGAUCUUUCUGUGCACCGCAGGGCGCCGCCUAUCAGCUUGGCAGCUUGGCUAAGUGACAUCAUGCCCGAACCCUGGAGCCAGAGUACUUGGUUUCACCUCCUGGAUCCAUUAUUUGCUCUCCAAGCCCUCAUUUUCCUCCUCUGUAAAGUCAAGAUGGUGAUUCCACCUAUCCACGGAAGUUGUCACAACUCAACACUGAGUGUUUGGGAAGCACUCAGCAGCAGUGUCCAGCACCACACAAUCUCUUUUAAAGGUGCCCCUCUGUGACGUUCACUAUGAUGACAAACCUUCCACUGUUCACUGCUAAGUAACUUGAAAAGAAUCACUGGGAAAACAAAACUACUAGAAAUAAUAUGACUUGGGUCAGUGACUGAAUAAAAGUGUUUUUAAAUUUUGAUUUUGA